rnacentral:tRNA from 1 species
GCCACCGUAGCUCAGCUGGUUAGAGCGCCCGGCUGUUAACCGGGCGGUCGCCGGUUCGAACUCCUAUGAAAGUCCGGCCGGUGGCG